AACCACUCUACCUCUACGCACAUACUCAAAAUCCCUCAUUAAAUUCUUAUUAAUGGCUGCGAGCAAUCUGGUCCCAUUCUGCUGAUGUCAAACCACCACCCCAGAUAUUCAGCAAUGAGUAUUAGAAACCAACACAAUGGAAGCUACUGUUGGUGCAUCAUCCCUGACCACAGAUACAUAUACGGCUACCUGAUCUCCCUGGAUUCAAUACAUUUCUCCGAACUGACUUGACAUGGCCCACUGACUCAAGGAUCCC